CAGACCGCACACUCCUUUUCUCUGAUCCUCCUUCUCCUCUUCUCUCCGUGUAAGCCUGCAAAAUCCUCUGUGAUUUGUUUUUAUAAAUAUAUUUUUGUUUGAGUUUGAUGGGUAAAUAUGAUAUAAAAAGCAAGCAGGGAUUGUGUGUAUCGGCGUAGUGCUAGAAUCAAUGCACUCUGAUCCGAAAGAGUUCCCUGCAACAUCAAACCAAAAGGGGAAGGUGGGCAGUUGUUCUUCAUCCGCCUGUUGAAAUUUCAACAAUCAUCUUCCCCAUAUUCCUUUCUUUUCUUUUAUUAACCCUCUCUCGUAAUUAAGGUUCCUGGGUUUUGAUUCGUUUGUUACUUUUUUAUUCCAUGUUUUUGUAUGGUUUAAAUUGAACUUAUAGGCUAUAUUAGCUUGAAAUUGUUUCUGGAAUUUGGGUUUCUCUCUGUUUUCUUUGUGAUUAUUGAAGCUCAAAUCUGGAUUAAAUAGUUUCUUAAAUACAAUUAACAAAAACACGAGUAUUAAAUGGGUAAUAUUGAUUAUUUCUUCCUUUUAUUUUUGUUGGAAUGGUAAAUUGUUGGAAAGGUGAGCAUGAAACAUAAAUUGAAAGUGCUCCUAAUUUAGGGUUUUUGGGUAUAGGCCGAACUGCAAAGGCAGGGCCCAUUGGGCCACAUUGGAAGAA